AUUGAACGCUAGCGGCAUGCCUUACACAUGCAAGUCGAACGGCAGCACGGGGGCAACCCUGGUGGCGAGUGGCGAACGGGUGAGUAAUGCAUCGGAACGUGCCCAUCGAUGGGGGAUAACUGCGCGAAAGCGUUGCUAAUACCGCAUACGACCUACGGGUGAAAGCAGGGGACCGCAAGGCCUUGCGUCGAUGGAGCGGCCGAUGCCGGAUUAGCUAGUUGGUGAGGUAAAGGCUCACCAAGGCGACGAUCCCGUAGCUGGUCUGAGAGGACGACCAGCCACACUGGGACUGAGACACGGCCCAGACUCCGUACGGGAGGCAGCAGGUGGGGAAUCUUGGACAAGUGGGACGAAAGCCUGAUCCAGCAAUGCCGCGUGUGGAAGAGCCUCGGUUGUAAACCACUUUUGGCGGGAAAGAAAUGGUCUGUGCUAAUACCACGGAUUGAUGACGGUACCCGCAGAAUAAGCACCGGCUAACUACGUG
rnacentral:rRNA from 1 species